rnacentral:rRNA from 1 species
GACGAACGCUGGCGGCGCACCUAAGACAUGCAAGUCGAACGGUCCCUUCGGGGACAGUGGCGGACGGGUGAGUAACACGUGGGAGACCUACCCUGGGGUGGGGGAUAACGUCGGGAAACCGGCGCUAAGACCGCAUACGCGGGGCGACAUAGCGGUCGCUUCUGGAAAUGCGCAAGCAGCCCUGGGCGGGUCCCGCGGCGGAUUAGCUAGUUGGGGGGGUAGCGGCCCACCAAGGCGACGAUCCGUAGCUGGUCNGAGAGGACGGCCAGCCACACCGGGACUGAGACACGGCCGGACUCCUACGGGAGGNAGCAGUUAGGGAAUUUUCGCAAUGGGCGCAAGCCUGACGGAGUGACGCCGCGUGCAGGAUGA